AUGCGGGGUACUAUUAAGAUGUCUGUGGCCAAUCCUGUUAGAGAUAAGAUAUGGAUAUCUUUUCCCGAGGAUUUUGCAACCUGGGUCUAUUUGUACUAUGAGAAGAUUGGUAGGAUUUGCACCUUCUGUGGUCAGUUAUUUCAUAGCGUGCAACACUGUGACACUAGGAAUAAUCUGUUGAUUUCUAGACAGAGCCUAAACAUUCAGCUAGAUCAGAUUCCCGCGGUUAGAUUUGGUCAGUGGAUGAAAAAGAUUGAGCACAUCCCAGCUUCUAAUAGUGAACUCUCUUCUAAGAGUUCAGACUCUGCUUUCUCCCUUUUUCCAAUCCUCAGCUCAUCAGGUUACAGAAGCAGACACAACAAGGAAUGCAAAAUAAAGCCAAGACUAUUUUGGGUUCUGACACUAUUCCUCUUCAAACUCAAAAAAAUCAGUUGCCAAAUGUUACAAUGCAAAUCCACAGGAGAAAUCACUCAGGUUCGUUUUCAAAAGGGAUCCAAGGGCAGAGCCAACAGCUUGUUCAUCUUUCUCAUGCCCAUUGCACUACUAUUCACGCUCCACACUUGA
rnacentral:rRNA from 1 species